GUGCCCGUAGCUUAAUGGUAAAGCUCCGCUCUGUGGCAGCGGCAACGUGGGUUCGAUUCCCAUCGGGCACC
rfam:Parcubacteria (Wolfebacteria) bacterium GW2011_GWA2_42_10 TT85_C0001, whole genome shotgun sequence.